UUAGUAUUGUUUUAAUUGUACCGGAAAGCAUGGAACAUUUCUAUGUAAACUCAGGGUUUUGUAUAAUUCUGAUUAAGCCGAAUUUAAAUAUCACGCUAAAAUAAAUGACGACAUGUAACAUUAUUGUUAAGUAAGGUUUAAGAAGGUGCAUAGUAUGUAAACUUUGGCUGUCGUAUUUCAGUAUCUUUGCCCAAAUGAAAUUCAACUGAGACUGUGUAGGAAGCUAAGGAUUCUGAUGUAGUUGAGAAAAUGAGUUUUAGUAGAUUGGAGGACAUUCCUUUACAUCGUCAGUAUGGAAAAGGGUCUACACUACUUAGCACACAUCUCGAUAAAAUUCGCGAUUUAGACCAAGAGAUGACGACAGAUUUUGUACUAUGACUAUGAUUAGUAAACGCCUGUCACCGCAAUGUUCUUUUUACAUAGGUUAGAACUAGCGUAUAAACGCAUAUCAUACGUCUGUUGAACGGCCCAAUCU